GUGUCAGCAGCCGCGGUAAUACGAAGGGGGCUAGCGUUGCUCGGAAUUACUGGGCGUAAAGGGCGCGUAGGCGGGUCGUUUAGUUAGAGGUGAAAGCCCAGGGCUCAACCCUGGAAUUGCCUUUAAUACUGGCGGCCUUGAGUAUGGCAGAGGUGUGUGGAACUCCGAGUGUAGAGGUGAAAUUCGUAGAUAUUCGGAAGAACACCAGUGGCGAAGGCGACACACUGGGCCAUUACUGACGCUGAGGCGCGAAAGCGUGGGGAGCAAACAGGAUUAGAUACCCUGGUAGUCC
rnacentral:rRNA from 1 species